AUACACUGUCAUUACUUUAUCUAAAAUAUAGUUAAACUAUGGCAGACAAUGUAAUAUAAUGAUAAAACUUUGAAAUGUAUUUCAUUUAUGCUUGAUUUCUGUUGUUUUUUAGAAUCUUGUAUUCAGGGAAAACACCACAUUUAAUGCACUCCUGAUUCGUCCGGACAGUGGUUAUACUGUGAAUCAUCCCAUAGGUGCUAGGAACACGAUGGGUAUGGACCUAUAGCAAUGAACAAGUCAGACUGGGGUAGAAUUGGUGGCAUUGGAUAGCAGCGCUUUAGACAUGGCUGGGGUGGUGAAGACUGGGACCUAGUAGACAAAAUCUUGUCAGAAGGCCUAGAAAUCAAUGCUUGGAGGUGCUUAACUUUUUUCAUUUAUAUCACACAAAAAAAAGGGAAUAUGGAAAGAUUCGGAACAAUAGUUGCAAUGAAUAUUUAUUGUCUCAUGGAGAUUCAAAAUUCUUUGAAAGAGACAACAUAUAAUACAGGCUGAUAGUUGAAUAAAAACAU